rnacentral:rRNA from 1 species
UACGUAGGGUGCAAGCGUUGUCCGGAAUUAUUGGGCGUAAAGAGCUCGUAGGCGGCUUGUCACGACGACUGUGAAAACCCGGGGCUCAACUCCGGGCCUGCAGUCGAUACGGGCUGGCUUGAGUGCGGUAGGGGAGACUGGAAUUCCUGGUGUAGCGGUGAAAUGCGCAGAUAUCAGGAGGAACACCGGUGGCGAAGGCGGGUCUCUGGGCCGUAACUGACGCUGAGGAGCGAAAGCGUGGGGAGCGAACAGG